CAGUCGAACGAUGAUGCCCAGCUUGCUGGGUGGAUUAGUGGCGAACGGGUGAGUAACACGUGAGUAACCUGCCCCUGACUCUGGGAUAAGCGUUGGAAACGACGUCUAAUACUGGAUAUGACUGCCGGCCGCAUGGUCUGGUGGUGGAAAGAUUUUUUGGUUGGGGAUGGACUCGCGGCCUAUCAGCUUGUUGGUGAGGUAAUGGCUCACCAAGGCGACGACGGGUAGCCGGCCUGAGAGGGUGACCGGCCACACUGGGACUGAGACACGGCCCAGACUCCUACGGGAGGCAGCAGUGGGGAAUAUUGCACAAUGGGCGAAAGCCUGAUGCAGCAACGCCGCGUGAGGGAUGACGGCCUUCGGGUUGUAAACCUCUUUUAGUAGGGAAGAAGCGAAAGUGACGGUACCUGCAGAAAAAGCACCGGCUAACUACGUGCCAGCAGCCGCGGUAAUACGUAGGGUGCAAGCGUUGUCCGGAAUUAUUGGGCGUAAAGAGCUCGUAGGCGGUUUGUCGCGUCUGCUGUGAAAUCCCGAGGCUCAACCUCGGGCUUGCAGUGGGUACGGGCAGACUAGAGUGCGGUAGGGGAGAUUGGAAUUCCUGGUGUAGCGGUGGAAUGCGCAGAUAUCAGGAGGAACACCGAUGGCGAAGGCAGAUCUCUGGGCCGUAACUGACGCUGAGGAGCGAAAGCGUGGGGAGCGAACAGGAUUAGAUACCCUGGUAGUCCACGCCGUAAACGUUGGGCGCUAGAUGUAGGGACCUUUCCACGGUUUCUGUGUCGUAGCUAACGCAUUAAGCGCCCCGCCUGGGGAGUACGGCCGCAAGGCUAAAACUCAAAGGAAUUGACGGGGGCCCGCACAAGCGGCGGAGCAUGCGGAUUAAUUCGAUGCAACGCGAAGAACCUUACCAAGGCUUGACAUACACCGGAAACGGCCAGAGAUGGUCGCCCCCUUGUGGUCGGUGUACAGGUGGUGCAUGGUUGUCGUCAGCUCGUGUCGUGAGAUGUUGGGUUAAGUCCCGCAACGAGCGCAACCCUCGUUCUAUGUUGCCAGCGCGUUAUGGCGGGGACUCAUAGGAGACUGCCGGGGUCAACUCGGAGGAAGGUGGGGAUGACGUCAAAUCAUCAUGCCCCUUAUGUCUUGGGCUUCACGCAUGCUACAAUGGCCGGUACAAAGGGCUGCGAUACCGUAAGGUGGAGCGAAUCCCAAAAAGCCGGUCUCAGUUCGGAUUGAGGUCUGCAACUCGACCUCAUGAAGUCGGAGUCGCUAGUAAUCGCAGAUCAGCAACGCUGCGGUGAAUACGUUCCCGGGCCUUGUACACACCGCCCGUCAAGUCAUGAAAGUCGGUAACACCCGAAGCCGGUGGCCUAACC
rnacentral:rRNA from 2 species